rnacentral:rRNA from 1 species
GAUCAUGGCUCAGGAUGAACGCUAGCGGCAGGCUUAACACAUGCAAGGUCGAGGGGCAGCGCGAGUAGCAAUACUUGGCGGCGACCGGCGCAAGGGUGCGUAACGCGUGAGCAACAUGCCCGUAUCAGGGGGAUAAUCCAGGGAAACUUGGUCUAAUACCCCAUAGUAAUUUUGUAAGGCAUCUUAUAAGAUUUAAAGCUUUGGUGGAUACGGAUUGGCUCGCGUGACAUUAGCUGGAUGGUAAGGUAACGGCUUACCAUGGCUAUGAUGUCUAGGGGUUCUGAGAGGAAGGUCCCCCACACUGGAACUGAGACACGGUCCAGACUCCUACGGGAGGCAGCAGUGAGGAAUAUUGGACAAUGGAUGGAAAUCUGAUCCAGCCAUGCCGCGUGAAGGAAGAAGGUCCUAUGGAUUGUAAACUUCUUUUGUAUGGGAGCAAUAAGGCCUACGAGUAGGUUGAUGAGAGUACCAUACGAAUAAGCACCGGCUAACUCCGUGCCAGCCGCGGC